CCUACGGGAGGCAGCAGUGGGGAAUAUUGGACAAUGGGCGCAAGCCUGAUCCAGCCAUGCCGCGUGAGUGAUGAAGGCCCUAGGGUUGUAAAGCUCUUUUGUGCGGGAAGAUAAUGACGGUACCGCAAGAAUAAGCCCCGGCUAACUCCGUGCCAGCAGCCGCGGUAAU
rnacentral:rRNA from 1 species